GCCCGCGUAGCUCAGAGGUAGAGCACUCCCUUGGUAAGGGAGAGGUCGACAGUUCGAUUCUGUCCGCGGGCA
rnacentral:tRNA from 1 species